rnacentral:lncRNA from 1 species
GGCCCCGCCCCGAGGCCCCGGGGACCUACCCGGCCCUACCAGGGCUCAACUUGGGAAACCCGGGCUUGCCUUGACCUGGCCGGGCUAGUGCGCCGCCUUGCCUCUGGGCCGUUUACCCUGCACCCCAGCGCCCGCAGGUCCUCACUAGGGGUGGGAGGGCAACUGGAAAGGACAGCGCCUCGGAACAGUCACCGAUCUUGAGCUUUAACCACUACGGGAAGCCCACCGGAAGGCACCCGUUGGUCACCUUGCUCCUGCCUCGUCCUCCCAAACUCUCAUGGCAGCCUGGAUCCUUAAAAUACCAGAUCUGUCCCCUGCUCCUCUGCUGUUCCCACUCUGCUCGAAACCCUCCUCAUCCUCCCAGCCUCCCGCAGAAUAAAUGCCAUCCCUUGUUCAGCACAUGGGCCUCGGUGAACUUACUGUCCCCUGCUGCACCCCGGUGUUCCGGGAGUCUCAACCUUUGCACUUGCCAGUUCACCCAGGAAAAGAGCCCCCUGAGUUCCUUGCCCGAAUUCAAACACCCUCCAAAGAGAUCUUUCUUAGAGUCCUCUUCCUAAUUUAGUCUUUAUUAUGUCUUUCUGAUCAGCUCAGGAGUUUUGAACUGCACCCUCUCGGACCUGAGCCAGUUGAAACCUUUCUUUAGUCAGCCUGGUUGGUCCUCACUCCCAGGAGGCCAUCAUAUUGAUGUUAGACUUAGUGCAACCCCUGAUGGGUAUAGCACACCAUAGCUCCCAACUCCUGAGCUAAGUAAUCUUUCUGCCUCAGCCUCCCAAGUAGCUGCGAAAAGCAAGCACUGUGUGCCCAGCUGAUUAACCUUUCUGAAGUUCAAUUUCUUCCAGUGCAAAUGAGUAUACUCAUUA